rnacentral:rRNA from 1 species
GCAGCCGCCGCGGUAAUACGUAGGUGGCAAGCGUUGUCCGGAAUUAUUGGGCGUAAAGGGCUCGCAGGCGGUUUCUUAAGUCUGAUGUGAAAGCCCCCGGCUCAACCGGGGAGGGUCAUUGGAAACUGGGAAACUUGAGUGCAGAAGAGGAGAGUGGAAUUCCACGUGUAGCGGUGAAAUGCGUAGAGAUGUGGAGGAACACCAGUGGCGAAGGCGACUCUCUGGUCUGUAACUGACGCUGAGGAGCGAAAGCGUGGGGUGCGAACAGGAUUAGAUACCCGCGUAGUCCCUGUCUCUUAUAA